rnacentral:rRNA from 1 species
GGAUUCCCCUAGUAACUGCGAGUGAAGCGGGAAAAGCUCAAAUUUAAAAUCUGGUAGUUUCACUGCCCGAGUUGUAAACUAGAGAAGCGUUAUCCGCGCUGGACCGUGUAUAAGUCUCCUGGAAUGGAGCGUCAUAGAGGGUGAGAAUCCCGUCUUUGACACGGACUACCAGGGCUUUGUGAUGCGCUCUCAAAGAGUCGAGUUGUUUGGGAAUGCAGCUCUAAAUGGGUGGUAAAUUCCAUCUAAAGCUAAAUAUUGGCGAGAGACCGAUAGCGAACAAGUACCGUGAGGGAAAGAUGAAAAGAACUUUGGAAAGAGAGUUAAACAGUACGUGAAAUUGUUGAAAGGGAAACGCUUGAAGUCAGUCGCGUCGGCUAGGAAUCAGCCUUGCUUUUGCUUGGUGUACUUUCUAGUCGACGGGUCAGCAUCAGUUUUGAUCGGUGGAAAAAGGCCAGCGGAAUGUGGCACCUUCGGGUGUGUUAUAGCUGCUGGUUGUAUACAUCGGUUGGGACUGAGGAACUAGCACUCUGUGUUUUAGAUGCUGGCAUAAUGGCUUUAAUCGACCCGUCUUGAAACACGGACCAAGGAGUCUAACAUGCCUGCGAGUGUUUGGGUGGAAAACCCGAGCGCGUAAUGAAAGUGAAAGUUGAGAUCCCUGUCGUGGGGAGCAUCGACGCCCGGACCAGACCUUUUGUGACGGAUCCGCGGUAGAGCAUGUAUGUUGGGACCCGAAAGAUGGUGAACUAUGCCUGAAUAGGGUGAAGCCAGAGGAAACUCUGGUGGAGGCUCGUAGCGAUUCUGACGUGCAAAUCGAUCGUCAAAUUUGGGUAUAGGGGCGAAAGACUAAUCGAACCAUC